rnacentral:rRNA from 1 species
UGCGUAGGUGGUUAAAUAAGUUGGAUGUGAAAUCCCUCAGCUCAACUGAGGAACUGCAUUCAAAACUGUAUAACUAGAGUGUGAGAGAGGAAAGCGGAAUUCCUGGUGUAGCGGUGAAAUGCGUAGAUAUCAGGAAGAACACCUGUGGCGAAAGCGGCUUUCUGGACCAACACUGACACUGAGGCACGAAAGCUAGGGGAGCGAACAGGAUUAGAUACCCUGGUAGUCC